AAAGAAAGGAUAAAUUAAAAUCGAGAUGGACCUUGAGGAAGAUCACAUGAGGGCUGAUGGGGAAGAGGCAUUUGAAGGCUUUAUAGGAGGCAUAGUACUGGAAAUCUGCUCCUGAUGAGGUCUCAGAAAGCUUCCACUCAUGGUGGAAGGCAAAGGAGGAGCAGUCACAUGAGCCUUGAAAUCAGCAAAACAAUAAUCAGAGAGCAGUUCUGUCAAGGAAAACAACAUAAAUCAGGUACAGAAUUUCAGAGUGGGAUAUCAGAUCUUUAGUGGGAAGAUACAUCUACAUUAAACCAGAAAUCACUAGAAGUGACAUUUGGACAAGAAAAUUUGGAAAAUUUUAAAACUGUGAAGGUUGAUCAUGGAAAUUAAAGAGGAAGGGGCAUCAGAAGAAGGGCAGCACUUUCUUCCCACAGCCCAGGCCAGUGAUCCUGGGGACUGUCAGUUUACAAGUAUCCAGAAGACUCCAAAUGAACCACAGUUGGAAUUCAUCCUUGCUGCAGCUAUCUGAAUAAUGGGAUCAGGCCUGGUGAUUGGAUGCUGCUGAACAUCUA
rnacentral:sRNA from 1 species